rnacentral:rRNA from 1 species
GACGAACCGUGCGAACGUUGUUCGGAAUCACUGGGCUUAAAGGGCGCGUAGGCGGGUGUGCAAGUCUGUGGUGAAAGCCCCCAGCUCAACUGGGGAAGUGCCGUGGAUACUGCACAUCUUGAGGAGGGUAGGGGCAUCUGGAACGGUCGGUGGAGCGGUGAAAUGCGUUGAUAUCGACCGGAACUCCGGUGGCGAAGGCGAGGUGCUGGACCCUUUCUGACGCUGAGGCGCGAAAGCCAGGGGAGCAAACGGG